UACGGAGGGUGCAAGCAUUGUCCGGAUUUAUUGGGUUUAAAGGGUGCGUAGGCGGCUUUUUAAGUCAGCGGUGAAAGACAACAGCUCAACUGGGGAGGGUCACGCGAUACUGAUCGACUGGAAGGCAGGAGAGGGUAGUGGAAUUCCCGGUGUAGUGGUGAAAUGCGUAGAUAUCGGGAGGAACACCAGUGGCGAAGGCGACUACCUGGCCUGUUCUUGACGCUGAGGCGCGAAAGCUAGGGGAGCAAACGGG
rnacentral:rRNA from 1 species